UACGUAGGGGGCAAGCGUUGUCCGGAUUUAUUGGGCGUAAAGAGCGUGUAGGCGGCUAGAUAGGUCCGUUGUGAAAACUCGAGGCUCAACCUCGAGACGUCGAUGGAAACCAUCUGGCUAGAGUCCGGAAGAGGAGAGUGGAAUUCCUGGUGUAGCGGUGAAAUGCGCAGAUAUCAGGAAGAACACCUAUGGCGAAGGCAGCUCUCUGGGACGGUACUGACGCUGAGACGCGAAAGCGUGGGGAGCAAACAGG
rnacentral:rRNA from 1 species